rnacentral:rRNA from 1 species
AACGCUAGCUACAGGCUUAACACAUGCAAGUCGAGGGGCAGCAUGGUCUUAGCUUGCUAAGGCCGAUGGCGACCGGCGCACGGGUGAGUAACACGUAUCCAACCUGCCGUCUACUCUUGGACAGCCUUCUGAAAGGAAGAUUAAUACAAGAUGGCAUCAUGAGUCCGCAUGUUCACAUGAUUAAAGGUAUUCCGGUAGACGAUGGGGAUGCGUUCCAUUAGAUAGUAGGCGGGGUAACGGCCCACCUAGUCUUCGAUGGAUAGGGGUUCUGAGAGGAAGGUCCCCCACAUUGGAACUGAGACACGGUCCAAACUCCUACGGGAGGCAGCAGUGAGGAAUAUUGGUCAAUGGGCGAGAGCCUGAACCAGCCAAGUAGCGUGAAGGAUGACUGCCCUAUGGGUUGUAAACUUCUUUUAUAAAGGAAUAAAGUCGGGUAUGGAUACCCGUUUGCAUGUACUUUAUGAAUAAGGAUCGGCUAACUCCGUGCCAGCAGCCGCGGUAAUACGGAGGAUCCGAGCGUUAUCCGGAUUUAUUGGGUUUAAAGGGAGCGUAGACGGGUUGUUAAGUCAGUUGUGAAAGUUUGCGGCUCAACCGUAAAAUUGCAAUUGUUACUGGCAGUCUUGAGUACAGUUGAGGUAGGCGGAAUUCGUGGUGUAGCGGUGAAAUGCUUAGAUAUCACGAAGAACUCCGAUUG